AUGUGCAAAGCAAAAGACAAUAUCCUGCCCUGUUUCACAAAGCAUCGGCAAGUUGCGAGAGAAUCUACGCUGACGCCCUCACAAGGUAGCGAUUGCACAAAACUCACCAACCAUGGAACAAAUGAAAAAAAAAAUCAUCAGAAUGCAGGAAAAAGAAAAACUUCAGCAGCAAAAGUCAACAAGUUUCCUGCCCCGUUCCACAAGCAUUGGCAAAUUGUGGGAGAAUCUAAGCUGACGCUCUCUCAGGAAAUCAUUGGCAGAAAACUUAACAACCUUGGCUUAAAACAAAUGAACAAUCAUCAGGAUGCAAGUCAAACGGAAAAUGGCUCCUCAAAAACGUCAUGA
rnacentral:rRNA from 1 species